UGGGGAAUAUUGCACAAUGGGCGAAAGCCUGAUGCAGCAACGCCGCGUGAGUGAUGAAGGCCUUCGGGUUGUAAAGCUCUGUCUUCUGGGACGAUAAUGACGGUACCAGAGGAGGAAGCCACGGCUAACUACGUGCCAGCAGCCGCGGUAAUACGUAGGUGGCAAGCGUUGUCCGGAUUUACUGGGCGUAAAGGAUGCGUAGGCGGAUACUUAAGUCAGAUGUGAAAAUCCCGGGCUUAACUUGGGAACUGCAUUUGAAACUGGUAUCUAGAGUGCGGGAGAGGAAAGUGGAAUUCCUAGUGUAGCGGUGAAAUGCGUAGAGAUUAGGAAGAACACCAGUGGCGAAGGCGACUUUCUGGACCGUAACUGACGCUGAGGCAUGAAAGCGUGGGGAGCAAACA
rnacentral:rRNA from 1 species